rnacentral:rRNA from 1 species
UACGUAGGUGGCAAGCGUUGUCCGGAUUUACUGGGCGUAAAGCGCGUGUAGGCGGCUUUGCAAGUCGGAUGUGAAAGCCCUGGGCUCAACCUGGGGAUGGCAUUGGAAACUGGCGACCUAGAGUGCGGUAGAGGGCAGUGGAGUUCCCGGUGUAGCAGUGAAAUGCGUAGAGAUCGGGAGGAACAUCUGUGGCGAAGGCGACUGCCUGGACCAGCACUGACACUGAGGCACGAAAGCGUGGGGAGCAAACAGG